rnacentral:rRNA from 1 species
CCUGCUCAAUGCUGAUAGUAAAUUGCCGCAGAAUUCUGUGCUAAGGUAGCAUAAUAACUUGUCUUAUAAUUAAAGAAUUGAAUGAAAGGAGACACAAAUUAUAAACUUUUUAAUACAAAAUUAAUAAAAUUAAUAUUAAAGUAAAAAAGCUUUAAUUAAAAAAAAAGACGACAAGACCCAUUUGAACUUAACCGCAUGUUUAACUGGGGCGGUUAAAAAUAAAAACUUAUACAAUAACACAAACAAAACUAAUAAAAUUAAAUUAAUCAAGUUACCAAAGGGAUAACAGCGUAAUAUUAUACAAAAGAUCAAAUAAAACAUAAAAUUUACGACCUCGAUGUUGAAUUAUUAAAACUAAUUUAAGCAAAAAUAAAAAAAGUAAGUCUGUUCGACUUUUAAUUUAAUACAU